rnacentral:rRNA from 1 species
GGGUCAGUAGGUUGGUCGUGCCACCGGUACGUACUGGUCUCACUGAUUCCUCCUUCCUGAAGAACCGUAAUGCCUUUAAUUUGGUGUUGCUGGGAAACAGGACUGUUACUUAGAAAAAAUUAGAGUGUUUAAAGCAAGCUAACGCUUGAAUACAUUAGCAUGGAAUAAUGAAAUAGGACGAUCGAUCCUAUUUUGUUGGUUUCUAGGAUUGACGUA